AGAGUUUGAUCAUGGCUCAGAAUGAACGUUGGCGGCGUGGAUUAGGCAUGCAAGUCGAGCGAGAACUGUAGCAAUACAGGGAAAGCGGCGAAAGGGAGAGUAAUACGUAGGUACCUGCCCUCGGGUCUGGGAUAGCUGCGGGAAACUGCAAUUAAUACCGGAUGACGUCUCUGGACCAAAGGUGUGAUUCCGCCAGGGGAUGGGCCUGCGUCCUAUUAGCUAGUUGGCGGGGUAAUGGCCCACCAAGGCAAAGAUGGGUACGGGGUGUGAGAGCAUGCCCCCGCUCACUGGGACUGAGACACUGCCCAGACACCUACGGGUGGCUGCAGUCGAGGAUCUUCCGCAAUGGGCGCAAGCCUGACGGAGCGACGCCGCGUGCGGGAUGAAGGCCUUCGGGUUGUAAACCGCUGUCAGUGGGGAGCAAAUGCAUCAGGGUUCUCCCUGGUGUUUGAGCGAUCCGCAGAGGAAGCACAGGCUAAUUCCGUGCCAGCAGCCGCGGUAAUACGGAAUGUGCAAACGUUAUUCGGAAUCACUGGGCUUAAAGAGUCCGUAGGCGGCAUGUUAGGUGAGGUGUGAAAUCCCCCGGCUCAACCGAGGAAUUGCGCUUCAUACCGGCGUGCUUGAGGGAGAUAGAGGUGGGCGGAACUGAUGGUGGAGCGGUGAAAUGCGUUGAUAUCAUCAGGAACACCGGAGGCGAAAG
rnacentral:rRNA from 1 species